rnacentral:miRNA from 1 species
GCCACAGCAAGUGUCUACAUUGCCUCCCAGACGGUGAAGAAGGUAAUAGAGAUCAACCUCUACCUCGGCACCAUGGCUGGAGGUGCACAGAUUGCAGCUUCUGGG